rnacentral:sRNA from 1 species
AUUUAGCCCCGAUUGCAGCGGCAUCUCCCGAUUUAGAAAAACAAGGCUUUUUUGUAGCCGUAGUUUUUAUUUAUCGGGAAUACAGCGGAAAGCGGGACAAAUC